AUUGAACGCUGGCGGCGUGCUUAACACAUGCAAGUCGAGCGGCAGCGCGGUAGCAAUACUGGCGGCGAGCGGCGAACGGGUGAGUAAUGCUUCGGAAUCUUCCUCGUAGUGGGGAAUAACCUGGGGAAACUCAGGCUAAUACGGCAUACGAACUACGGUUGAAAGCAGGGGAUCGCCAGACCUUGCGCUAUGAGAUGAGCCGAAGUCGGAUUAGCUAGUUGGUGAGGUAACGGCUCACCAAGGCGACGAUCCGUAGCUGGUCUGAGAGGACGACCAGCCACACUGGGACUGAGCCACGGCCCAGACUCCUACGGGAGGCAGCAGUGGGGAAUAUUGGACAAUGGGGGCAACCCUGAUCCAGCGACGCCGCGUGUGUGAAGAAGGCCUGCGGGUUGUAAAGCACUUUUAGUGGGGACAAAAAGCCGAGGGCUAAUACCUUUCGGUCUUGAUUUAACCCAAAGAAAAAGCACCGGCUAACUCUGUGCCAGCCGCCGCCGUAAAAC
rnacentral:rRNA from 1 species